rnacentral:rRNA from 1 species
UACGUAGGGUGCAAGCGUUGUCCGGAUUUAUUGGGCGUAAAGAGCGUGUAGGCGGCUAGGUAGGUCCGUUGUGAAAACUCGAGGCUCAACCUCGAGACGUCGAUGGAAACCAUCUGGCUAGAGUCUGGAAGAGGAGAGUGGAAUUCCUGGUGUAGCGGUGAAAUGCGCAGAUAUCAGGAAGAACACCCGUGGCGAAGGCGGCUCUCUGGUACGUGACUGACGCUGAGACGCGAAAGCGUGGGGAGCGAACAGG